CAGAAAGGUGCAAAUAAACUAAUGCAUUGAAAUACACUGACACCGCAUAAAAAUACUGUCCAUCAUCCAAACACACAAACACACUGCUACAAGGAUGUGGCCAAACAUUAUGAGAGUUGUAAACGAGUUGAUGAUCUAUCUAUUGGCUACCCUGACUCUGUUGAGGUGUCCCAUAAAAUGUCUUGCACUGGAGCCUAGUGCACAUUAGUUCCAC